AGACCCGAAACCCGGUGAUCUAGCCAUGGGCAGGUUGAAGGUUGGGUAACACUAACUGGAGGACCGAACCGACUAAUGUUGAAAAAUUAGCGGAUGACCUGUGGCUGGGGGUGAAAGGCCAAUCAAACCGGGAGAUAGCUGGUUCUCCCCGAAAGCUAUUUAGGUAGCGCCUCGUGAAUUCAUCUCCGGGGGUAGAGCACUGUUUCGGCUAGGGGGCCAUCCCGGCUUACCAACCCGAUGCAAACUGCGAAUACCGGAGAAUGUUAUCACGGGAGACACACGGCGGGUGCUAACGUCCGUCGUGAAGAGGGAAACAACCCAGACCGCCAGCUAAGGUCCCAAAGUCAUGGUUAAGUGGGAAACGAUGUGGGAAGGCCCAGACAGCCAGGAUGUUGGCUUAGAAGCAGCCAUCAUUUAAAGAAAGCGUAAUAGCUCACUGGUCGAGUCGGCCUGCGCGGAAGAUGUAACGGGGCUAAACCAUGCACCGAAGCUGCGGCAGCGAACGUAUCACCCAAGACAACUUUACGGAGUUGACGAUUGACGGAGCGAAGCGACGUCAAAGCGUUCAUUAAAGUCGAGUUGGCUUAGGGAUACGUUCGUUGGGUAGGGGAGCGUUCUGUAAGCCUGUGAAGGUGUGUCGUGAGGCAUGCUGGAGGUAUCAGAAGUGCGAAUGCUGACAUAAGUAACGAUAAAGCGGGUGAAAAGCCCGCUCGCCGGAAGACCAAGGGUUCCUGUCCAACGUUAAUCGGGGCAGGGUGAGUCGACCCCUAAGGCGAGGCCGAAAGGCGUAGUCGAUGGGAAACGGGUUAAUAUUCCCGUACUUGGUGUUACUGCGAAGGGGGGACGGAGAAGGCUAUGUUGGCCGGGCGACGGUUGUCCCGGUUUAAGCGUGUAGGUGUGUGUUCCAGGUAAAUCCGGUUCACUUUAACACUGAGGCGUGACGACGAGGCACUACGGUGCUGAAGCAACAAAUGCCCUGCUUCCAGGAAAAGCCUCUAAGCAUCAGG
rnacentral:rRNA from 2 species